GUUACUUUCUCCCUACUCUCCUUCAUGUUCUGCUUUGCCUUUCCAUUGCCUCUUGCUGCCUCAGAUCCGAUCUUCCCAUUGCCUAUCCAUCCAUCUGCAUAUCUACCUUCCAUCUGCUUGUCCUACAUCCAUACCUUCAUUUGCAUGCCCCUCUUCUGUCUUCCAUGGAUUUCAUCUCAGAGCCGUUCUGCAAUCACUUUUGACAGCGAUUUGGUGCGGUCCUCCUAUGAAAUGGUGCGUAAAGUCCGAUGUUCACACCAGCUCGGGUGGCCACACCACCACCUUUUCUCUGUCUGCCUUUUUUGACAGUGUUGCUAGUGGUAAUUCCACGAGCUUCUUUGGUUUUCCUAACCUGGUGGUCGCUAUCUACGAGAUGCUCUCUGAUGGAGGACAGAAUCUACUUUCUUUCCAUCUCUAAGGUGCUAUUUGGUUGGGCUUUCGGCAAGUGGUGGCUUUACGAUGGCGUCAGUAGAAAGGAAGUUGUUUGGGUUUAUUUCAGUGUUGUUUUGUUUUGGGCUCUUGGGUUACUUUCAAGGUCCAUUCUUUUGCAUGUGUUGUUAUGGUAUAUGGGCCUUCUAUUACGUAAUUGUUGUGCUUUGUUAAUAAAGUAACUUAGGCCAAAAAAAAAAUAAUAAUAAUGAAAAAGGUUUGAAAACUUUGAGUUUUAACAACAAGAAUAAAAUAAAUAGUACUAAGAUUAACUUUUUAGGGUAAAAAUAUAGUUUUUUUGUUAAAGUGAACAAUACCAGGAGUUUUUCGUUAAAAUUCUUUAAAAAAAAAAAUGAAAAGGAAAGUGCUGAAGUUAUUUACCUUUCAAUUUUCUUUUAGUCGGAGGAACUUAAUUGGGCCUGAAGUAACAAAAUACUGCAUUGAAAUCAAACUUGAUGAUCCCUCAGAGUCGGAGGCAUCAUCAUUUGCAAAUGCAAAACGACCCAAGAUCUCCACUUCUUGUAGUAAAUAUGGGCGGGAUUAUUAGGAAACCUCCUGAAGAAACACACGCACACUGUGGAUGUGACAUGGAUAAAUAUUCAACGCAAAGAAAAUUGAAUGGCAUAAGCAAUCCGACGGAGGCCAUUGACAUUCUUCAGAUCUCGAAGUCGGAGCCACAACCAUCCAUCAGAUCAGAUGCGGGUGUUCCUGCUCUUAGACUCGUCGUCCCCAAUCGCCAUAAUCCUCUCCGUCAUCCUCUUCCUUCUCCUAUUUCGCUUUGCUAUCCUCCUCUUCUUCCUCGUCCUCAUCUUUUUUCUCUGCGCAGACCUCGUCCACCUCCUCUUUCAUCUUUGAUUUAAUGGUUACCUAUUCUCAAAGUGAGGCUGGUGAUAAAGGGGAGAGUGCAGGGUGUGUUUUACGGGGACUGCAGUGUGGGGAAUGCAACUGAAUUAGGCUUGAAAGGUUGGGUUCGGAACCGGAUUGAUGGAUCUUUGGAACACUGCUUUCUGGGAACCCUGAUGCAGUUAAAGAGAUGGAGCAAAGGCGUCGCCGUGGUCCUCCAUCUGCAGUAGUCACGGGGCUCGAGGUUGACAAUCUUGCUUGCUUUAUGCUCCUUAGUUUGGAGGAAUCUUAGGCUUUAAGGGGUUCUUAAUAUUAAGGGGAAUACUGUAAAUUAAUCUGUUAAAGAUAAGACUUAGAAAUUGUCAUUACUACUGUGUGUAAAUGUGGUGUAUAUAUAUUCAAAAUGUAAUGUUAUAUAUUUCUUUAAUCAAUGAAAUCAUAUAUUUCUAACA